GCCUGGAUGGCUCAGUCGGUUGAGCAUCUGACUUCGGCUCAGGUCACGAUCUCGCAGUUUGUGAUUUCGAGCCUCACAUCGGGCU
rnacentral:tRNA from 1 species